rnacentral:rRNA from 1 species
UACAGAGGUCUCAAGCGUUGUUCGGAUUCAUUGGGCGUAAAGGGUGCGUAGGUGGCGCGGAAAGUCGGGUGUGAAAUCUCCGGGCUUAACCCGGAAAGGUCAGCCGAUACUGCGGGGCUAGAGUGCAGAAGGGGCAACUGGAAUUCUCGGUGUAGCGGUGAAAUGCGUAGAUAUCGAGAGGAACACCUGCGGCGAAGGCGGGUUGCUGGGCUGACACUGACGCUGAGGCGCGAAAGCUAGGGGAGCGAACGGG